rnacentral:rRNA from 1 species
AUUGAACGCUGGCGGUAUGCUUAACACAUGCAAGUCGAACGGCAGCACGAGGAAAGUUUACUUUCUUCGGUGGCGAGUGGCGGACGGGUGAGUAAUACAUAGGAAUCUACCUUUUAGUCUAGGAUAACUACCCGAAAGGGUGGCUAAUACUGGAUGUGGACUACGGUUUAAAGCAGGGGACCUUCGGGCCUUGCGCUAAGAGAUGAGCCUAUGUGGGAUUAGCUAGUUGGUGAGGUAAUGGCUCACCAAGGCGACGAUCUCUAGCUGGUUUGAGAGGAUGAUCAGCCACACUGGGACUGAGACACGGCCCAGACUCCUACGGGAGGCAGCAGUGGGGAAUAUUGGACAAUGGGCGAAAGCCUGAUCCAGCAAUACCGCGUGUGUGAAGAAGGCCCUAGGGUUGUAAAGCACUUUUGUUAGGGAGAACGGGUAUUACGGUUAAUAACCAUAGUAUCUGAUGUUACCUAAAGAAUAAGCACCGGCUAACUCCGUGCCAGCCGCCGCAGUAAC